UACGUAGGGGGCGAGCGUUGUCCGGAAUUACUGGGCGUAAAGCGUGCGCAGGCGGUUUUGUAAGACUGUCGUGAAAUCCCCGGGCUUAACCUGGGAAUGGCGAUGGUGACUGCAAGGCUAGAGUUUGGCAGAGGGGGGUAGAAUUCCACGUGUAGCAGUGAAAUGCGUAGAGAUGUGGAGGAACACCGAUGGCGAAGGCGGCAUCCUGGACCGGUAUUGACGCUGAUGCGCGAAAGCCAGGGGAGCAAACGGG
rnacentral:rRNA from 1 species